rnacentral:rRNA from 1 species
UGGGGAAUAUUGCACAAUGGGCGCAAGCCUGAUGCAGCCAUGCCGCGUGUAUGAAGAAGGCCUUCGGGUUGUAAAGUACUUUCAGUCGGGAGGAAGGUGUCAAGGUUAAUAACCUUGGCAAUUGACGUUACCCGCAGAAGAAGCACCGGCUAACUCCGUGCCAGCAGCCGCGGUAAUACGGAGGGUGCAAGCGUUAAUCGGAAUUACUGGGCGUAAAGCGCACGCAGGCGGUUUGUUAAGUCAGAUGUGAACUCCCCGGGCUCAACCUGGGAACUGCAGCUGAUACUGGCAAGCUUGAGUCUCGUAGAGGGGGGUAGAAUUCCAGGUGUAGCGGUGAAAUGCGUAGAGCUCUGGAGGAAUACCGGUGGCGGAGGCGGCCCCCUGGACGAAGACUGACGCUCAGGUGCGAAAGCGUGGGGAGCAAACAGG